AGGAAUUUGCCCCUAGUAACGGCGAGUGAAGCGGCAACAGCUCAAAUUUGAAAUCUGGCGCAAGCCCGAGUUGUAAUUUGUARAGGAUGCUUCUGGCCAGCGGCCGUUCUAAGUUCCUUGGAACAGGACGUCAUAGAGGGUGAGAAUCCCGUAUGUGACCGGCGCGCAGCCUUUACGUAGCUCCUUCGACGAGUCGAGUUGUUUGGGAAUGCAGCUCUAAAUGGGAGGUAAAUUUCUUCUAAAGCUAAAUACCGGCCAGAGACCGAUAGCGCACAAGUAGAGUGAUCGAAAGAUGAAAAGCACUUUGGAAAGAGAGUUAAAAAGCACGUGAAAUUGUUGAAAGGGAAGCGCUUGCAACCAGACUUCGUAGCGAUGUUCCGCCGGUCUUCUGACCGGUCUACUCAUCGUCGCGAGGCCAACAUCGUCUGGGGCCGCCGGAUAAGACCUAAGGAAUGUAGCUUCCCUCGGGAAGUGUUAUAGCCUUUGGUGAUGCGGCGCGUCUCGGGCGAGGUCCGCGCUUCGGCAAGGAUGUUGGCGUAAUGGUUGUCAGCGGCCCGUCUUGAAACACGG
rnacentral:rRNA from 1 species